AGCGGCGGACGGGUGAGUAACGCGUAGGCAACCUGCCCCAUACAGAGGGAUAGCCUCGGGAAACCGGGAUUAAAACCUCAUAACGCGAGGAGUUCACAUGGACUUCUCGCCAAAGAUUCAUCGGUAUGGGAUGGGCCUGCGUCUGAUUAGCUAGUUGGUGGGAUAAAAGCUUACCAAGCCGACGAUCUGUAGCUGGUCUGAGAGGAUGAUCAGCCACACUGGGACUGAGACACGGCCCAGACUCCUACGGGAGGCAGCAGUGGGGAAUUUUGGACAAUGGGCGCAAGCCUGAUCCAGCCAUGCCGCGUGCAGGAUGAAGGCCUUCGGGUUGUAAACUGCUUUUGUACGGAACGAAAAGGUUCUUUCUAAUAAAGAGAGCUCAUGACGGUACCGUAAGAAUAAGCACCGGCUAACUACGUGCCAGCAGCCGCGGUAAUACGUAGGGUGCAAGCGUUAAUCGGAAUUACUGGGCGUAAAGCGUGCGCAGGCGGUUUUGUAAGACAGAGGUGAAAUCCCCGGGCUCAACCUGGGAACUGCCUUUGUGACUGCAAGGCUGGAGUGCGGCAGAGGGGGAUGGAAUUCCGCGUGUAGCAGUGAAAUGCGU
rnacentral:rRNA from 1 species